rnacentral:rRNA from 1 species
UACAGAGGGUGCAAGCGUUACUCGGAAUUACUGGGCGUAAAGCGUGCGUAGUCGGUUAUUUAAGUCGGGUGUGAAAGCCCCGGGCUCAACCUGGGAAUUGCAUUCGAUACUGGAUAGCUAGAGUUCGGCAGAGGGAAGCGGAAUUUCCGGUGCAGCGGUGAAAUGCGUAGAUAUCGGAAGGAACAUCAGUGGCGAAAGCGGCUUCCUGGACCAGAACUGACGAUCAGGCACGAAAGCGUGGGGAGCAAACAGG